CCUACGGGUGGCAGCAGUGGGGAAUAUUGGGCAAUGGACGAAAGCCUGACCCAGCAAUGCCGCGUGAAUGAAGAAGGUCUUAUGAUUUGAAAAUUCUGUCCUAUGGGAGGAAAAAGAUGACGGUACCAUAGGAGGAAGCCCCGGCUAACUACGUGCCAGCAGCCGCGGUAAUCCGGAGGCGGCGAGCGUUGUCCGGAAUUACGGGGCGUAAAGAGAGCGUAGGCGGCACGAUAAGUCUCAGGUGAAAUACCCGGGCUCAACUUGGGGGUUGCAUGGGAAACUGUAGGGCUUGAGUACAGGAGAGGUAGGCGGAAUUUAUGGUGUAGCGGUGAAAUGCAUAGAUAUUAGGAGGAACACCAGUGGCGAAGGCAGCUUGCUGGACUGAAACUGACGCUGAGGCUCGAAAGCGUGGGGAGCAAACAGGAUUAGAUACCCGGGUAGUC
rnacentral:rRNA from 1 species